rnacentral:rRNA from 1 species
ACUCCUACGGGAGGCAGCAGUGGGGAAUAUUGCACAAUGGGGAAACCCUGAUGCAGCCAUGCCGCGUGUGUGAAGAAGGCCUCGGUUGUAAAGCACUUUCAGUAGGGAGGAAGGUAGUGUAGUUAACACCUGCAUUAUUUGACGUUACCUACAGAAGAAGCACCGGCUAACUCCGUGCCAGCAGCCGCGGUAAUACGGAGGGGUGCGAGCGUUAAUCGGAAUUACUGGGCGUAAAGCGCAUGCAGGCGGCCUGUUAAGUCAGAUGUGAAAGCCCGGGGGCUUAACCUCGGAAUUGCAUUUGAAACUGGCAGGCUAGAGUCUUGUAGAGGGGGGUAGAAUUUCAGGUGUAGCGGUGAAAUGCGUAGAGAUCUGAAGGAAUACCAGUGGCGAAGGCGGCCCCUGGACAAAGACUGACGCUCAGAUGCGAAAGCGUGGGAGCAAACAGGAUUAGAU